rnacentral:rRNA from 1 species
UACGGAGGGUGCAAACGUUGCUCGGAAUCAUUGGGCGUAAAGCGCACGUAGGCGGUUUGUUAAGUCGGGUGUGAAAGCCCUGGGCUCAACCCAGGAAGUGCACUCGAAACUGGCAGGCUUGAAUAUGGAAGAGGGUCGCGGAAUUCCCGGUGUAGAGGUGAAAUUCGUAGAUAUCGGGAGGAACACCAGUGGCGAAGGCGGCGACCUGGGUAGAUACUGACGCUGAGGUGCGAAAGCGUGGGGAGCAAACAGG